UUCUCUCUCAGGUAUCGAAUAAUAUCACUAGACAAUCUCUCCAUAAAGGUCUUGUGCAAAUGUGUGUGCCAUCUUGGAAUUAAAAGUACAAAUCGGUCGAUACAAGUUUCAAAAAGACAACCUUACUCAACUACAUUCAAAUUAUCUAAAAGACACUACAUACAUAUACUUUACGAAAACAUGCUAAACACCAACUACUCCUAAAGUUCGAGUGAGGGAAAGACAACUUAGCUAAAAGUAUCUCUAUUUUUGGAUUUUCUAAUUUUUUCAUUUUUUUAGGGUUUUUCAUUUUUUAAGAAUUACACUAAAGCCCUCCCCAUACCUAAAUCAUGCAUUGUCCUCAAUGUAUGCAAAAGAGAGAAUUGAAAUGAGAGAGUAAAGAGGAAAAAUACCUGAAUAGGAGAUGAAUGGGAUUUUUAUUAACGAACGAAGCAUUAACACGACCCACACACUCACACAUUUACUUCCCCAUACCUGAAUUUCAUGAGGGAAGGUUCGAAGGAGGAACCACUUCAGCCGAUUCCGGAAGG
rnacentral:lncRNA from 1 species